UUGGUGCAAAAGUAAUUGCGGUUUUUGCCAUUCCUUUCAAUGGUAAAAACCGCAAUUACUUUUGCACCAA
rnacentral:miRNA from 1 species